rnacentral:rRNA from 1 species
UACGUAGGGUGCGAGCGUUAAUCGGAAUUACUGGGCGUAAAGUGUGCGCAGGCGGCCGAGCAAGUCGAGUGUGAAAGCCCCGGGCUUAACUUGGGAAUUGCGCUCGAAACUACUUGGCUGGAGUGUGGCAGAGGAAGGUGGAAUUCCAGGUGUAGCGGUGAAAUGCGUAGAUAUCUGGAGGAAUACCGGUGGCGAAGGCGGCAUCCUGGACCAUUACUGACGCUGAGGCGCGAAAGCUAGGGGAGCAAACGGG